rnacentral:rRNA from 1 species
GACGAACGCUGGCGGCGUGCUUAACACAUGCAAGUCGAACGGAAAGGCCCUGCUUGCAGGGUACUCGCGUGGCGAACGGGUGAGUAACACGUGGGUGAACUGCCCUGCACUUCGGGAUAAGCCUGGGAAACUGGGUCUAAUACCGGAAAGGAGCCAUUUUAAGUGUGAUGGUUGGAAAGUUUUUUCGGUGUAGGAUGAGCUCGCGGCCUAUCAGCUUGUUGGUGGGGUAAUGGCCUACCAAGGCGGCGACGGGUAGCCGGCCUGGGAGGGUGGACGGCCACAUUGGGACUGAGGUACGGCCCCGACUCCUACGGGAGGCAGCAGUGGGGAAUAUUGCACAAUGGGCGCAAGCCUGAUGCAGCGACGCCGCGUGGGGGAUGACGGCCUUCGGGUUGUAAACUCCUUUCGCUAGGGACGAAGCUUUUUGUGACGGUACCUAGAUAAGAAGCACCGGCUAACUACGUG